ACUCUAGUUUGACUUUGUGAGAAGACGGGUGUAGAAUAGGUGGGAGUUCCGGCGCCGGUGAAAUACCACACUACCUUUAUCGUAUUUUACUUAUUCAAUGAAGCGGAACUGGGCUUCACCGCCCAACUUCUGGCGUUAAGAUCCCUCGCGGACUAAUCUGAGUUGAAGACAUUGUCAGGCGGGGGGU
rnacentral:ncRNA from 1 species